GGGCUGUCAGGGGAGGGGGGGCGUGGGGGGUUCUCCAUGAGUCAUGGGGGAUGGGGGUGGUGGCGCGCGGAGGGUGUGACCAUGAGGGAAGGCAGCGCAGGCAUAGGAGAGUUUGGGGAGAGAUGAGUGAAGGGGAAAUAGUGAUGUAUAAUAACUAAAAUGUUCUUUAUAAUAUUUUAUCAUAAAAGAGUACCAAAUUUAGUUGAAUUUAUCAAGCCAAUCUAGAACAAAUAUAUCCAUGGGCAUGAAAAAUAAAAUAUCUAACAAAAAGGAUAUCUAUCUGUAACACUAUUAGGGAAUAUAAUUCAGUUUAUAAGAUUGAAGAGUUGUUUCCGUUCUCCAAUAAUCUUGUCUCAAAAAUUCUAGUCCUUGAUCACCUGCCAUUCAUGUGUUGCACAAUAGCUCAUGAUUAGAGGAGCCCUGUUUGUACACCAGGCAGUGCAUCACGAUCUUAUUCAAUCAUACGCUAUCAUGAUAUAGAUAGACGGCAUUGAUUGUGGAUAGGAUAUUUCUGGUUCAAUGUCGAACUACAGAAGAUCGGAUGUCAUAUUGACCUCACGGUAUACGUUCUGGGCCUACAUAGUUGGUUAACCGUGCAAUAGAUAUUUAUAAUAUUUAAGUCCUGGGAUCAACCUUACAAAAAGGACCAAGAAUCGGGAUUUUUUUCAAGUUAGGAUCCAAGUAUCUG
rnacentral:lncRNA from 1 species